rnacentral:rRNA from 1 species
GGGUUGUGAGGUUAAGCGACUAAGCGUACACGGUGGAUGCCCUGGCAGUCAGAGGCGAUGAAGGACGUGCUAAUCUGCGAUAAGCGUCGGUAAGGUGAUAUGAACCGUUAUAACCGGCGAUUUCCGAAUGGGGAAACCCAGUGUGUUUCGACACACUAUCAUUAACUGAAUCCAUAGGUUAAUGAGGCGAACCGGGGGAACUGAAACAUCUAAGUACCCCGAGGAAAAGAAAUCAACCGAGAUUCCCCCAGUAGCGGCGAGCGAACGGGGAGGAGCCCAGAGCCUGAAUCAGUGUGUGUGUUAGUGGAAGCGUCUGGAAAGGCGCGCGAUACAGGGUGACAGCCCCGUACACAAAAAUGCACAUAUUGUGAGCUCGAUGAGUAGGGCGGGACACGUGGUAUCCUGUCUGAAUAUGGGGGGACCAUCCUCCAAGGCUAAAUACUCCUGACUGACCGAUAGUGAACCAGUACCGUGAGGGAAAGGCGAAAAGAACCCCGGCGAGGGGAGUGAAAAAGAACCUGAAACCGUGUACGUACAAGCAGUGGGAGCACGCUUCGGCGUGUGACUGCGUACCUUUUGUAUAAUGGGUCAGCGACUUAUAUUCUGUAGCAAGGUUAACCGAAUAGGGGAGCCGAAGGGAAACCGAGUCUUAACUGGGCGUUAAGUUGCAGGGUAUAGACCCGAAACCCGGUGAUCUAGCCAUGGGCAGGUUGAAGGUUGGGUAACACUAACUGGAGGACCGAACCGACUAAUGUUGAAAAAUUAGCGGAUGACUUGUGGCUGGGGGUGAAAGGCCAAUCAAACCGGGAGAUAGCUGGUUCUCCCCGAAAGCUAUUUAGGUAGCGCCUCGUGAAUUCAUCUCCGGGGGUAGAGCACUGUUUCGGCAAGGGGGUCAUCCCGACUUACCAACCCGAUGCAAACUGCGAAUACCGGAGAAUGUUAUCACGGGAGACACACGGCGGGUGCUAACGUCCGUCGUGAAGAGGGAAACAACCCAGACCGCCAGCUAAGGUCCCAAAGUCAUGGUUAAGUGGGAAACGAUGUGGGAAGGCCCAGACAGCCAGGAUGUUGGCUUAGAAGCAGCCAUCAUUUAAAGAAAGCGUAAUAGCUCACUGGUCGAGUCGGCCUGCGCGGAAGAUGUAACGGGGCUAAACCAUGCACCGAAGCUGCGGCAGCGACACUAUGUGUUGUUGGGUAGGGGAGCGUUCUGUAAGCCUGUGAAGGUGUGCUGUGAGGUAUGCUGGAGGUAUCAGAAGUGCGAAUGCUGACAUAAGUAACGAUAAAGCGGGUGAAAAGCCCGCUCGCCGGAAGACCAAGGGUUCCUGUCCAACGUUAAUCGGGGCAGGGUGAGUCGACCCCUAAGGCGAGGCCGAAAGGCGUAGUCGAUGGGAAACAGGUUAAUAUUCCUGUACUUGGUGUUACUGCGAAGGGGGGACGGAGAAGGCUAUGUUGGCCGGGCGACGGUUGUCCCGGUUUAAGCGUGUAGGCUGGUUUUCCAGGCAAAUCCGGAAAAUCAAGGCUGAGGCGUGAUGACGAGGCACUACGGUGCUGAAGCAACAAAUGCCCUGCUUCCAGGAAAAGCCUCUAAGCAUCAGGUAACAUCAAAUCGUACCCCAAACCGACACAGGUGGUCAGGUAGAGAAUACCAAGGCGCUUGAGAGAACUCGGGUGAAGGAACUAGGCAAAAUGGUGCCGUAACUUCGGGAGAAGGCACGCUGAUAUGUAGGUGAAGUCCCUCGCGGAUGGAGCUGAAAUCAGUCGAAGAUACCAGCUGGCUGCAACUGUUUAUUAAAAACACAGCACUGUGCAAACACGAAAGUGGACGUAUACGGUGUGACGCCUGCCCGGUGCCGGAAGGUUAAUUGAUGGGGUCAGCGCAAGCGAAGCUCUUGAUCGAAGCCCCGGUAAACGGCGGCCGUAACUAUAACGGUCCUAAGGUAGCGAAAUUCCUUGUCGGGUAAGUUCCGACCUGCACGAAUGGCGUAAUGAUGGCCAGGCUGUCUCCACCCGAGACUCAGUGAAAUUGAACUCGCUGUGAAGAUGCAGUGUACCCGCGGCAAGACGGAAAGACCCCGUGAACCUUUACUAUAGCUUGACACUGAACAUUGAGCCUUGAUGUGUAGGAUAGGUGGGAGGCUUUGAAGUGUGGACGCCAGUCUGCAUGGAGCCGACCUUGAAAUACCACCCUUUAAUGUUUGAUGUUCUAACGUGGACCCGUGAUCCGGGUUGCGGACAGUGUCUGGUGGGUAGUUUGACUGGGGCGGUCUCCUCCUAAAGAGUAACGGAGGAGCACGAAGGUUGGCUAAUCCUGGUCGGACAUCAGGAGGUUAGUGCAAUGGCAUAAGCCAGCUUGACUGCGAGCGUGACGGCGCGAGCAGGUGCGAAAGCAGGUCAUAGUGAUCCGGUGGUUCUGAAUGGAAGGGCCAUCGCUCAACGGAUAAAAGGUACUCCGGGGAUAACAGGCUGAUACCGCCCAAGAGUUCAUAUCGACGGCGGUGUUUGGCACCUCGAUGUCGGCUCAUCACAUCCUGGGGCUGAAGUAGGUCCCAAGGGUAUGGCUGUUCGCCAUUUAAAGUGGUACGCGAGCUGGGUUUAGAACGUCGUGAGACAGUUCGGUCCCUAUCUGCCGUGGGCGCUGGAGAACUGAGGGGGGCUGCUCCUAGUACGAGAGGACCGGAGUGGACGCAUCACUGGUGUUCGGGUUGUCAUGCCAAUGGCACUGCCCGGUAGCUAAAUGCGGAAGAGAUAAGUGCUGAAAGCAUCUAAGCACGAAACUUGCCCCGAGAUGAGUUCUCCCUGACUCCUUGAGAGUCCUGAAGGAACGUUGAAGACGACGACGUUGAUAGGCCGGGUGUGUAAGCGCAGCGAUGCGUUGAGCUAACCGGUACUAAUGAACCGUGAGGCUUAACCUUACAACGCCGAAGCUGUU